UUAAUUAAAUUCUAGCUCAGUCUUCAUCCUGAAGACAAAUGAAGUGUGAGCUUGCUUCUCAGUGGGAGGUGUGAAUCAUAGACUGACUGUCUGCAGCUGUCUUCAGUCCACACUGGGCUUUCCCACACAGCCUAACUGGUGUUGCUAAUGAAUGCAGAGUUGGACAUUCUGCUGAUUUUGGAAGUCACCAUCUAGCUCAUAAUGGCCUUGCCCAGCCUUUGAAAUUUGACCCCAAAGGACUGGUUACAGCUAAGAAAACGACAGAAGCAAAUGAAGGAGUUUCCCUGGAUAACAGCACAGGGGAGGAUGCAUGUGGCACCACCGAUUCAGAUUUUGUGAACCUUCCAGAAAUCCGAGGAGAGUCAGAGUCACAUUUCUCCUUAAACUGUCAAGAACAAUUAUGGCCCAAACCUUUAAAUGUACACGAAGAUUCACCCCAACUAAUCUCAGAAAGACAGAAGACUGCUAUGUCUGCUAAACCCAGUAUCCGAGGACAAGAUUGUUCUUUACCAUUGUAUGAAAACGAUAUGUUACCAUCAGUUUUACCUUCCAAAUAUCAAGAUGUGGCUCCUCUUAAAAGCUCCCUGACCAAUCAUAAAACAUCUUCUGAAUCUCAGAGUGCUGAAGAAGUUUCUCUUUUCUCUAUUGAAAAGAUACCCACUUCGGAGAUCCAGCAAAAAAUGCCUGCCGUUAUUACUCAAGAAGAUAAAAAGGCGCCUAUGCCAGUUCUUCCUGUCACACACACGACAAACGUAACUUUGGAAACUCACUCACCUGAGGGAGAAAAUCUUCCAUGGACUCAAAAAGAAGAAGUAGAUGUUAAAGAAAGACUUCCAUUAAUAACUCAAAUGAAUAAAAUGCAACAAGCAUCAACACUUUCACUGGCAGAAGCUGGUGUGAACACUGGGAAGAAAACAAUUGAGCUUUUGCACAGUAUGCUUGCUAAGCUGUCACCAGGUGUAGAAGAUCUGCAAGACAUAGAAGCUUUUGAAGACAGUGAAAUAGACAGCAUUACUGAGGAUAGAUUAAAUAAGCUACCAAAACUUCUUGGAAGCUUGGAGUCAAAUCUGAAAGACCUGCAGGAAGCACUGGCUCUGACAGAUGACCAAACAAGCAAUGUAAGUGAAAGUUGUGGAUAUGAGCUAAAAAGGAUUUUAGCUGCAAGUCUGGAAGCAAAACUGAAAGACCUGCAGCAAGUGGAGGCUUUCAUAGCAGAUCAACUAGGCAUACAUGGGUCUGAUGAAAAGCAACUAUAUGACAUCCCACAAACAAGACGACUUCUAUUGUCAAGUUUGGAACCAACUCUGAAAGACCUGCAAAUGGCAGAGGCUAAUAUAAUUAGUCUGCCAGACAGCAUAAAUGAGGACAGACUGAAGGAAUUAAUCAACCAAAAAAAUAUUUUGCUGUCAAGUCUGGAAAAAAAUUCACAAGAUUUGCAACAAGCACAGGCUAUUGUAGUAGACCAAGACGACAAAUACAGAUUUUAUGAGAAAAAAAUGCAGGACCUAACAGAAAAAAGAAAGCUUUUGCUUACCAGCCUGGAAUCGAAUUGGAGAGAUUUGCAACAGACUCAGGCUCUGGAUGCCAGCCAACUUCAUGACAUGAAUGAUAAUUGCUUUGGCAGCAAUUCUGAUUUUUUUGAAAGAAAAUCAGAGGUGACUGGAAAACAGCCUCUAAAUAGUAGAACUUUGCAGCUAGAAUGUAUUCUUUCAGCACUUCCACUUGAUCAAGACAGAAGCUUUGCACCUGCAGAGCCAACUUACAACAGCGAAACCACAUCACCUAUUCAUCAAUUGAUGCCAAGCAGAGUUGUAUCCAGUAUACAUUUUGACUUUUCUACACUUCCAGCCUUAGUACCAGGAGACUUUGAUGCCUCAACUCCUUAUCAGACAGAAUGGGGAGCACUGUUUAUUUCUGGGAAGAGUUACCCUUUGCUGAGCUCAAAGAGUCAAGAAGCAAAAAGGAGGUGAAACAUCUCUGAUGAUAAAAUUCUCUCAUAUUCCUCUUAUUAGAAUAGUUGUGAUGGUAAACUUACAGCAUUAAUAAAAAUACCACUCUGUCACUCUCUUAUAGCCUG
rnacentral:lncRNA from 1 species